rnacentral:lncRNA from 1 species
UGAGUGUUAUCAAAUUUUUCAAUAUUAUGCUGCUUCUCAUUUAUCUUUUGGAAUUUGAGGGUCUCCUAACUAGAUUUGUCUAGUAAUGAACACUUUUCUUUUCUUCACUCCAAAGAUUUAACUGUGGCACUCCUUGGUUCCAGCUCCUAAUGAUGGUGUUAUACAAUUAGUAAAAGGAGCAAGAUGUAACUGUUAUUUGCUUGCAUGUGUAGCAAUGUAUUUUUCAUUUUUGGUUUCCUAUUUACUUCUAUUGUUGUGGCGUUGAACAUAAUGAUGAGUCGUAUAAAAAGAUAAUAAAAACUAAACUAUGAUGUAAGAAGAGUACUACUUAAUAACUGGAAAAGUCAUAAGCACGUAAUGUUGUUUGGUGACAGCAAGUAUGGUGGUGGCAGUGGAAGCAUAGUUAGUAGCAAAACUGGUUUAGAGACUUAUUACCACUGCGUUUCUUAUUUAUUUUUAAUGCUUAAAAGGCCUUUUUCAUCCUCUUCAAUUAGCUUAGUUGGAAAGUACAAUGUGUUUCCAAGUUGCUGGUAGUUUUGUCUAAAGUUUUCAGUCUUGUUUUGUAUUGGUUUUAUUUGGUUUUUGGCUUCGCCUUUUUAACUUGUGGCUUAAAACACUCCAUCAUUGGAUUACAUAACAUCAAUGGAUGAGAGUCUGUGAAAAUUCGAAGUAAACUUUUUAUAGACAUAACUCAUAUGCUUGUGGCUUAUAGGCAACUGAAAGAGUAUGAGUUGAGGUCUCACUGUAAACAUAAAUUACUUUUUCAAAUGGUGUCUGAAAAAAUUGUCCCAGUUAAAUGACCUUUUUUCAAAUGGUGUCUGAAAAAAUUGUCCCAGUUAAAUGACUUCCUUUUUAGUUGUUGUGGUUAGCUCUUGUCCUUAAUAUUGUGGUACAUUUCCUGCAACAAUUUUCAUUUUUCCUCCCAGGUUUACUCCAGAAGCUCUAAACUGGCUUUUCAUCAAGGGAUUGUUUGGAUGGUUUAUGCAAUUCAUG